CGCACGGGUGCGUAACGCGUAUGCAACCUGCCCCCAUCAGGGGAAUAGCCCGCCGAAAGGCGGAUUAAUGCCCCAUAGGCCCAGGGCGCCGCAUGGCGCUAUGGGUAAAGCUCCGGCGGAUGGGGAUGGGCAUGCGUGCCAUUAGCUAGUUGGGGCGGUAACGGCGCACCAAGGCGACGAUGGCUAGGGGGUCUGAGAGGAUGGUCCCCCACACUGGUACUGAGACACGGACCAGACUCCUACGGGAGGCAGCAGUGAGGAAUAUUGGUCAAUGGGCGGAAGCCUGAACCAGCCAUGCCGCGUGCAGGAUGACGGCCCUACGGGUUGUAAACUGUCCGUUUUCCCCGGGAAGAAUAAGCCCCUCGUGAGGGGUGAUGCCGGUACCGGGGGAAUAAGGAUCGGCUAACUCCGUGCCAGCCGCAGC
rnacentral:rRNA from 1 species